CCGAGUUUACAACUCCCAAACCCAUGUGAACAUACCUAUCGUUGCUUCGGCGGGAUCGCCCCGGGCGCCUUGUGUGCCCCGGAUCCAGGCACCCGCCGGGGGACUUCAACUCUUGUUUUUUUUUAGAAUCUUCUGAGUCGUUUUUACAAAUAAAUAA
rnacentral:misc_RNA from 1 species